GUGAGGGGUGGGGGGAGGGAGGGGAACCGACGACAGCCGACUCCUUAGCACGGCCACCCUAACCCCUCCAUCUGCAGUCCCUUGAAGCCCGGCUCCCCUGCCCUCCACCGAUAAUUCUCCGGCCCCCACCCUAGGCCGGAGUGGUCCCCAGUGGUCCCGGUGGCCUCAUCCCCUCAGGAGUGGAGGGGGCGCAGUGGGAGUGUCAGGCACACGCCCCCUGCCUCCUCCGCUGCUGUCCGGCUCAGCCUCCGCCCCUCCUGGGGCCUCUGCGCUCACCUGGUACAACCACUGCCACUGGAAGGGCACGACCACCCGCAGCAGGAUGGCGAUGAUCCGUGUGAAGUAGAUGUAGCAGAUGACCUGCAGAGACGGGGCACCUGCAGUGGGAUCACUAUCCCGAAGAUCUUCUUCUCCUUGUCCGACAGCACGUACUUGACGAAGGCCCAGCCGGAGCCGAUCAAGGCGAUGGUGAUGAAGAGGAGGGCACCCUUCAGCCUGGUGGAGGGAGAGGAUGGACACCCAGAAGAUGCCGGCGCCCAGGAAGCAGGCGGACAUGACCAUGUACAGCUUGAAAAGAGGGAUUUCCGCCGCUGACAGAUUUCCUGUCUCCCUGAGCACAUGGGGUACCUGGCCUGCCGCGAGGGCUCCAUGAACCCACUGCCCUCCCCCUCCGCUCACCGUGAUGUCAAACGGCUGCUCCUGGCCUGGCACCGAGUUGUCACAGUUGUGGAAGUU